AGCAAACGCUGGCGGCGUGCCUAAUACAUGCAAGUCGAUCGGGGAAGUCCCGCAAGGGAUUGUACUAGAGGCGCACGGGUGAGUAACACGUGGGUAAACUUCCUUAGAGUGGGGAAUAACUAGUCGAAAGAUUAGCUAAUACCGCAUAAGACCACAAUGUCUGCGGACGAAGAGGUCAAAGGAGCAAUUCGCUCUAAGAUGUGCCCGCGCAUGAUUAGCUAGUUGGUGAGGUAAUGGCUCACCAAGGCUGUGAUCAUUAGCUGGUCUGAGAGGAUGAUCAGCCACACUGGAACUGAGACAUGGUCCAGACUCCUACGGGAGGCAGCAGUAGGGAAUAUUGCGCAAUGGGGGAAACCCUGACGCAGCGACGCCGCGUGAGUGAUGAAGGACUUCGGUUCGUAAAGCUCUGUUGUACGGGAAUAAAAAAAAUGAAUGUACCGUGCGAGUAAGGAUCGGCUAACUUCGUGCCAGCCGCCGCCGUAA
rnacentral:rRNA from 1 species